rnacentral:rRNA from 1 species
AAGCCCCGCAAGGGGUAAGUAGAGUGGCAAACGGGUGAGUAACACGUGGGUGACCUGCCUUCGAGUGGGGGAUAACGUCCCGAAAGGGACGCUAAUACCGCAUGACAUCCUGCUCUUGGACGAGCGGAGAUCAAAGCUGGGGAUCGCAAGACCUGGCGCUUGAAGAGGGGCCCGCGCCUGAUUAGCUAGUUGGUGAGGUAACGGCUCACCAAGGCGACGAUCAGUAUCCGGCCUGAGAGGGCGGACGGACACACUGGGACUGAGACACGGCCCAGACUCCUACGGGAGGCAGCAGUGGGGAAUUGUUCGCAAUGGGCGCAAGCCUGACGACGCAACGCCGCGUGGAGGAUGAAGAUCUUCGGG